UACGUAGGGGGCAAGCGUUGUCCGGAAUCAUUGGGCGUAAAGCGCGCGUAGGCGGCCCGGUAAGUCCGCUCUGAAAGUCCAGGGUUAACCCUGGAAAGCGGGUGGAUACUGCCGGGCUUGAAUCCGGAAGAGGCGAGUGGAAUUCCUGGUGUAGCGGUGGAAUGCGCAGAUAUCAGGAGGAACACCGAUGGCGAAGGCAGGUCUCUGGGCCGAUACUGACGCUGAGGAGCGAAAGCGUGGGGAGCGAACAGG
rnacentral:rRNA from 1 species